CAGCCGCCACGGGAAUACGUAGGUGGCAAGCGUUGUCCGGAAUUAUUGGGCGUAAAGGGCUCGCAGGCGGUUUCUUAAGUCUGAUGUGAAAGCCCCCGGCUCAACCGGGGAGGGUCAUUGGAAACUGGGAAACUUGAGUGCAGAAGAGGAGAGUGGAAUUCCACGUGUAGCGGUGAAAUGCGCAGAGAUGUGGAGGAACACCAGUGGCGAAGGCGACUCUCUGGUCUGUAACUGACGCUGAGGAGCGAAAGCGUGGGGAGCGAACAGGAUUAGAUACCCCUGUAGUCCCUGUCUCUUAUAC
rnacentral:rRNA from 1 species